rnacentral:rRNA from 1 species
GACAGAGGGUGCGAGCGUUGUUCGGAAUUACUGGGCGUAAAGCGCGCGCAGGCGGUAUCCUGCAAGUCGGAAGUGAAAUCGUGGCUGCUCAACGGCCACGCUGCUUCCGAUACUGCGGAUCGUGGGGACCGGUAGAGGCUGGUGGAAUUGCAGGUGUAGCGGUGGAAUGCGUAGAGAUCUGCAAGAACACCCGUGGCGAAGGCGGCCAGCUGGGCCGGAUCCGACGCUGAGGCGCGAAAGCCGUGGGGAGCAAACAGG